rnacentral:tRNA from 1 species
GGGUCGGUACCAAAGCGGUCAAAUGGGGCAGACUGUAAAUCUGCUGGCUCCUGCCUUCGCAAGUUCGAGUCUUGCCCGGCCCA